rnacentral:rRNA from 1 species
CAUUGCCUACGGGACGCAGCAGUGGGGAAUAUUGCACAAUGGGGGAAACCCUGAUGCAGCGACGCCGCGUGAGUGAAGAAGUAUUUCGGUAUGUAAAGCUCUAUCAGCAGGGAAGAUAAUGACGGUACCUGACUAAGAAGCUCCGGCUAAAUACGUGCCAGCAGCCGCGGGAAUACGUAUGGAGCAAGCGUUAUCCGGAUUUACUGGGUGUAAAGGGAGCGCAGACGGCAAGGCAAGUCUGAUGUGAAAGUCCGAGGCUCAACCUCGGGACUGCAUUGGAAACUGUCUGGCUAGAGUGCAGGGGG